rnacentral:rRNA from 1 species
UACAGAGGGGGCAAGCGUUAUUCGGAAUUAUUGGGCGUAAAGGGCGCGUAGGCGGCUUGACAAGUGGCGGGUGAAAUCCCUCGGCUUAACCGAGGAACUGCCUGCCAGACUGUCUUGCUUGAGACCGGGAGAGGUGAGUGGAAUUCCCAGUGUAGCGGUGAAAUGCGUAGAUAUUGGGAGGAACACCAGUGGCGAAGGCGGCUCACUGGACCGGAACUGACGCUGAGGCGCGAAAGCGUGGGGAGCAAACAGG